rnacentral:rRNA from 1 species
UGGGGAAUCUUCCGCAAUGGACGAAAGUCUGACGGAGCAACGCCGCGUGUAUGAUGAAGGUCUUCGGAUUGUAAAGUACUGUCAUUGGGAAGAACGGUUUUCUUGAAAAGAUUGAGAAGACAUGACGGUACCCAAGGAGGAAGCCCCGGCUAACUACGUGCCAGCAGCCGCGGUAAUACGUAGGGGGCAAGCGUUGUCCGGAAUUAUUGGGCGUAAAGGGCGCGUAGGCGGGCCUUUAAGUCCGGUGUGAAAGAUCAGGGCUCAACCCUGAGAGUGCAUCGGAAACUGGAGGCCUUGAGGACAGGAGAGGAAAGUGGAAUUCCACGUGUAGCGGUGAAAUGCGUAGAUAUGUGGAGGAACACCAGUGGCGAAGGCGACUUUCUGGACUGUAACUGACGCUGAGGCGCGAAAGCGUGGGGAGCAAACAGGAUUAGAUACCCUGGUAGUCCACGCCGUAAACGAUGAGUGCUAGGUGUAGAGGGUAUCGACCCCCUUCUGUGCCGCAGUUAAACACAAUAAGCACUCCC